rnacentral:rRNA from 1 species
UCCGGAAGGGGCAAGCGUUGUUCGGAAUCAUUGGGCGUAAAGGGCGCGUAGGUGGUUCUGUAUGUCUACCGUGAAAGCGUACGGCUCAACCGUAUUUUGUCGGUAGAAACUGCAGGACUUGAGGCUGGGAGGGGCUGGUGGAAUUCCCUGUGUAGCGGUGAAAUGCGUAGAGAUGGGGGAGAACACUCGUGGCGAAGGCGGCCAGCUAGACCAGUUCUGACACUGAGGCGCGACAGCGUGGGGAGCAAACAGG